rnacentral:misc_RNA from 1 species
GGAUGAAGAACGCAGCGAAAUGCGAUAAGUAGUGUGAAUUGCAGAAUUCCGUGAAUCAUCGAAUCUUUGAACGCACAUUGCGCCUUCUGGUAUUCCGGAAGGCAUGCCUGUUCGAGAGUCAUUAACAACCGUUUCGAUCCCUUUCUUUCAGAAAUUACAAAGAGGAAAAGGGUUUGGUUAUGGUGGAGGAGGGAAAGGGAGCGUUUAGCCUGUAAAAAAAGAGGCUGUGUUCCGCCUCCCCCCCAAAAUUGUACAGGCGGUCGUGUGCGCCCACGCAUCGAGGUGUUGUAAAAGCUGCCACGGCACUUUUCACCUGUGCAGUGCGAGAUUGGCCAGCCGGUUUAAAAACCCCUCCAAACAAUCAAAGGUUGACCUCGGAUCAGGUAGGGAUACCCGCUGAACUUAAGCAUAUCAAUAAGCGGAGGA